rnacentral:other from 1 species
AAUACCCUGCUAUGUGCGUGGUUGCCCUGAAGUUUUGAUCCAAUAUAGAAAAAGGGAGCCCGGCCUCUGGUUGUAGCUUGCAUGCCCCUUCAAGGGGACACAAAAAGCAUCCAGGGUGGCACCCACCUGUUGAAAACGGGUUCAAGAAAACUUGGGGAGGUCACGGCAUAAGUGGGGUUUUU